rnacentral:rRNA from 1 species
CCUACGGGAGGCUGCAGUGAGGAAUAUUGGUCAAUGGACGAGAGUCUGAACCAGCCAAGUCGCGUGAAGGAUGACUGCCCUAUGGGUUGUAAACUUCUUUUAUAUGGGAGUAAAAUGUUCCACGUGUGGGAUUUUGUAUGUACCAUAUGAAUAAGGAACGGCUAACUCCGUGCCAGCAGCCGCGGUAAUACGGAGGAUCCGAGCGUUAUCCGGAUUUAUUGGGUUUAAAGGGAGCGUAGGUGGAUUGUUAAGUCAGUUGUGAAAGUUUGCGGCUCAACCGUAAAAUUGCAGUUGAAACUGGCAGUCUUGAGUACAGUAGAGGUGGGCGGAACUCGAGGUGUAGCGGUGAAAUGCUUAGAUAUCACGAAGAACUCCGAUUGCGAAGGCAGUUCACUGGACUGCAACUGACACUGAGGCUCGAAAGUGUGGGUAUCAAACAGGAUUAGAUACCCGAGUAGUC